rnacentral:tRNA from 1 species
GCCGAAGUGGCGGAAUUGGUAGACGCGCUAGGUUCAGGACCUAGUUGGGGCAACCCAGUAGGAGUUCGAGUCUCCUCUUCGGCACCA